rnacentral:rRNA from 1 species
UACGUAGGGUGCAAGCGUUGUCCGGAAUCAUUGGGCGUAAAGCGCGUGUAGGCGGCUUGGUAAGUCAGCUGUGAAAGCCCAGGGCUCAACCCUGGGAUGCCGGUUGAUACUGCCAAGCUCGAGUCCGGAAGAGGAGUGUGGAAUUCCUGGUGUAGCGGUGAAAUGCGCAGAUAUCAGGAGGAACACCAAUGGCGAAGGCAGCACUCUGGGACGUGACUGACGCUGAGACGCGAAAGCGUGGGGAGCAAACAGGAUUAGAUACCCGGUAGUCC